CAGCAGCCGCGGUAAUACAGAGGGUGCGAGCGUUAUUCGGAUUUACUGGGCGUAAAGCGUGCGUAGGCGGCUUCUUAAGUCGGAUGUGAAAUCCCUGAGCUUAACUUAGGAAUUGCAUUCGAUACUGGGAAGCUAGAGUAUGGGAGAGGAUGGUAGAAUUCCAGGUGUAGCGGUGAAAUGCGUAGAGAUCUGGAGGAAUACCGAUGGCGAAGGCAGCCAUCUGGCCUAAUACUGACGCUGAGGUACGAAAGCAUGGGGAGCAAACAGGAUUAGAUACCCGUGUAGUCCCUGUCUCUUAUAC
rnacentral:rRNA from 1 species